rnacentral:rRNA from 1 species
GAAUACCAGUGGCGAAGGCGGCCUUCUGGCCUGACACUGACGCUGAGGUGCGAAAGCGUGGGUAGCAAACAGGAUUAGAUACCCUGGUAGUCCACGCCGUAAACGAUGUCGACUAGCCGUUGGGUCCCUUGAGGACUUAGUGGCGCAGUUAACGCGAUAAGUCGACCGCCUGGGGAGUACGGCCGCAAGGUUAAAACUCAAAUGAAUUGACGGGGGCCCGCACAAGCGGUGGAGCAUGUGGUUUAAUUCGAUGCAACGCGAAGAACCUUACCUACCCUUGACAUCCUGCGAACCCGGAAGAGAUUCCGGGGUGCCUUCGGGAGCGCAGAGACAGGUGCUGCAUGGCUGUCGUCAGCUCGUGUUGUGAAAUGUUGGGUUAAGUCCCGUAACGAGCGCAACCCUUGUCCCUAUUUGCCAGCGAUUCGGUCGGGAACUCUAGGGAGACUGCCGGUGACAAACCGGAGGAAGGUGGGGACGACGUCAAGUCAUCAUGGCCCUUACGGGUAGGGCUACACACGUGCUACAAUGGUCGGUACAAAGGGUUGCGAAAGCGCGAGCUGAAGCUAAUCCCGAAAAGCCGGCCUCAGUCCGGAUCGGAGUCUGCAACUCGACUCCGUGAAGUCGGAAUCGCUAGUAAUCGUGCAUCAGAAUGGCACGGUGAAUA